CCGAGUUAGGGUCCUCUAGGGCUCGACCUCCUACCCUUUGUCUACCUUACCUUUUGUUGCUUCGGCGGACCCGUCCCUUAGGGGACCGCCGGAGAGCUCACGCUCUCUGGCCCGCGUCCGCCGGUGGCCCACAACCAAAACUCUUGUUUAAACGUGUCGUCUAAGUACAAAAACAAAUAAGUAA
rnacentral:misc_RNA from 1 species